GGUAACUAAAUAAAUCUAAAAGGGAUGAAUUGCCAAGUUUCAAAGGGCAGAAACAACCCUGGCUUAAUGACAGGGAAUGAAUGAUUAUUUCUUGGAAGGGGAGGAGAGAAGGUAGAAACUUGGAGUUUGAAACUGGACUCAAGAAGUAUAUAAAGACCAAGAAGCUUUGAAGUUGAACCACUGUCAGGAAAGGACUCUGCACUUGUGGGAGAGACAAUUUAAUACACUACAAAGAUGAAGCUGCUGCUCUUAUGUCUGGGGCUGACCCUGGUCUAUGCCUACCAUGAAAGAGAAAUGGAUGUUGUGGAGAACUUUGAUCCAUCAAAGAUUACAGGGACAUGGAUUACCAUUUUCUUGGCCUCUGACCAAAAGGAAAUGACAGAUGAGAAAUGGAUGUUGUGGAGAACUUUGAUCCAUCAAAGAUUACAGGGAAGUGGUUGACCAUUCUCUUAACCUCUGACCUAAAGGAAAAGAUAGAAAAAAAAUAGUAGUAUGAGAGUUUUCGUGGAAUAUAUUGAUGUCUUGAAUAACUCUUCCCUGUUCUUUAAAUUCUAUACCAUG